rnacentral:rRNA from 1 species
AAAACUUUCAACAACGGAUCUCUUGGUUCUGGCAUCGAUGAAGAACGCAGCGAAAUGCGAUAAGUAAUGUGAAUUGCAGAAUUCAGUGAAUCAUCGAAUCUUUGAACGCACAUUGCGCUCCCUGGUAUUCCGGGGAGCAUGCCUGUUCGAGCGU